rnacentral:tRNA from 1 species
GCAUAGUGGUGCAGUGGGUAGCACUAUUGCCUCACAGCAUGAAGGUCCUGGGUUUGAAUCCUAGGCCUGGGCC